AAACUUACAAUGUGCCAAACCAUCAAUGCUAAGUAAAAUUUAGCCACCCAAAUCUAAACAAUCAAGACGACAGCUAAAGACUUUUCAAUUACUGCAAACAUGAUCUAGACAAGAGCAAUCUUUAGCUUAGAUGGGCAAACCUUCAUGUAUGGAUUCAAGUGAACCAAUUAAUCAAGAGGAAAGAUGAAGAGGAAGGGAAGGAACAUGGAUUCUACACCACUUUGUAUACAAUAACCACCUACUUGAAUUUGAGAAAAAUAAAGAAAAUCAAACCCAAAAUUUGAUGGGUAAGAUGUAACCGAGGUGGAGAUAGGAAUAGGAAAAUAAUAAAGUGAAUAAGCACAAAGCUGCCACACAUCAAUGAUGAUCAGGGAUCGAUGCUAAAGAAUAAUAAUAGAACUUUGCAGGAAACUAACAAUAAUAUCAAGGAGGGAUGGAAAACAAUCGUCCAUUUAUUCAAGAACGUCAUGGAUUCCCACUGAAGCAAAAGUACAAAAAAUAGGCAAAGAUGAACGCUAACUGGGGUAAAGGUUGAGAACACGACCAACAAACCCUCGAAAUCAUAAUUAAAUAUCUCAAUCUCGGUUUGAAAUAAGAAAAAGUGGCUAGCUAUUGUAAAUCAAAUGAAAUGCACAAGUUCUCAUAUUCACAUACUCAUAUGUCCACGUUCUCGCCCACAAAAUAGGUUCACAAAAUCAGGACUAAGGAUUAUCCAUGAGCCGACAGAAAAAAGAACAUAAGUUUAGGACGAAAUCACUUAUUCUAAACAACAGAUUAUAAAAAUUAUGUUCAUGAAUUUGAUUUACAGGUGGAACAUGCAACAAUAUCAAUACACACAUACAUACUUAGCAAAAUACGCACAUAAAGAAAAUAUGAAAAUUUUCACAUCAACUUGCUUUCCACAGUAUCAAAAUUCAAUUUUGGAUAAAACCAAACUCAAAAUUGAUUGGCAAACAAUCGGACAACCCCAAUGCCAUAGCCAAAUUGGAGCUGAAUUACCUAUCGCCGACAUCCAUUUUCCAGAAAAAUAAUAAUGAAACAAGCUCACCCAAAAUAAAAAAGAAAUUUUUUGAUAACAACUAAGGAAGUAUUCAUGUUUGAAACCCAAUUUUCGAAAUUAGUGACAACAUAAACUUGAUAAAUGUUCACAUUCGAAUCUGAUUUUCAGAAUCGACAACUACUUAAACUUGCCCGAAACUCAUGCACGAAUCUACUUUUAACUACAUCAACAUAAAAUUCGAUCAACUUAAAACUAAAUAAUACGCUUAUAGAUCCAAAAGAGACAAGAGAAGAGAGAUGGAAGUAUGGAUCCGUACCUUUUUUAGGGCAGGAAAACUGGAGUAAUAACGUCGAAAAUUUUUCAACAAGCACAAAUUUGAUACAGGACUCCGAACUCAGAUAUUUCCUCAUGAAUAUUUUGCUUCUUCCUCCAAUUUCUUUCAUUGUUCUUCUGAGGUUGAAGAACACCCCUUUUAUAGGUAAAAUACGGACUUCAAAAGUUCAAAUUUGAAGCAACAACUUGAGAAAGAAUUUGAAUUUCAAAUAUUUUAGACAAAUUUUUAUUUUUUUAAAGCUAUUGAAGGCUGGUCAGAGCCAAUUUUCUACCAUUCACUAUUUGGGUCUGUAACGAUGAGAUGUGGGCAGGUCCCAUAGGUUAACUGUUAUGCCAUAGCUAUGGCUGCCUGUGGACACUAUUUUUUGGGAUAUAGAAGAGAAAGGAGAAGAGAGAGAAAUCUCUG
rnacentral:lncRNA from 1 species